AUAUGACAUACUUGCUUUUAAAAAUCUAAUUAAAACUUUCUUUUUGGUCCUUAGGUAGAAAGAUGGCUCUGCUGAGAUGAGCUCUUAAUUAAUGCACUGAGAGCCUGCGAGUCCCACCUCUCAACAGGAAUGAUUGACGUCCAAGGAUACAUAAAUUACACUAAUUGAGCUCUGCCUCUAUAUAGGCUUUCCACAGCCAACUCAUCAGAGAAGCUAGGCUUGUACCACAGCCAAUAUCUCUGCUUGACAACUCUAAUGAACAAAUUGCCACAAAAGUGAGACAGAACACACCUUUUUGGUAAGUAGCAUAUACAUUUCUAAAUCUGAUGGUAAGCACAAGGCUAAUGUUUAUGCCUCCAUUUUGUUUAAAAU
rnacentral:lncRNA from 1 species